rnacentral:lncRNA from 1 species
GCGAUGGAAAUGAGGCGAAACAAAUACUUAGAGCCACGUGGACCGAGUCAUCACGAGGCUUGACUCGGUGAAACCAGAAUCAAUUCCCGAGCUGACUCACCAUCACAUUUCAUUCCCUAAAACCCUACCUUCAGGCUUCAAGCAGCGAAAGCGCGAGAAAGUGCGAGAAAAUGGCGAGAAACUCCGUUCUUCUGCGACACCUCCUUCGAUUCUCUCCCUCGUCUCGCGCUCGUUCUUCUUCUCUGAUCGAGACCCUAGCUUCAUCUCCGAUUGCUGUCCCAUCCCCUCCCAUUCAUACAAUUUCCUCCUUUUUCACCACCGCCACCGCUAACUCUCAGUUCUCGCGGCCUUGUUUGAAUUACCGCACACUUUGCUCUUCCUCAGGUACCUCGCAUUUCCCGUGCAAUUUCUCAUUUACUUGUUUUAUUUUUCAUUUCCAUUUUCGUCGUCAUCUUUCGAGUUGUUAUUGCUUUGCUUGGAAAAAUAUGAUCCUAGGGUUUUUUUUUCGAAAUCAAACAGCUGUCUUCAUCGUUUCGAUUAGAAGCAAUUUGCGAUUUAGGGUUUAUAUUCUUUGUAUAAAUCACUGCUUUUAAAUUUAUUCAGGCUCAAUUGUGAAUUUUACCAGUGUUUGAUUAAAAAAUGAUAUAAUUUCUACUUGCAUUAUGGUUUGAUGAAUAAAUCAAGCAUUAUGAAUGAAUUUAAUUCCAGGUCAAUCAAAAAUUGCUCUGAUUAAAUCAGAAGAAGAGUUCAAUACUUCACUUAGCAAGGUUCAAGGUAUUUCGUUUUUCUUCUCUUAUAUUUUGUUUGUUUGCAUCUCGUUACUGUUUUCUCUAAUUCUUACAGCACUUCUCAUUGGUUACAUACUUGUUCAAAUUCAUUGUAAUAGAUGAAUCUUUGCCUGCAAUUUUCUACUUCACUGCAGUAUGGUGUGGGCCUUGUAAGUUUUUGAAUUAUUUCAUUUUCUACUUCAUUGAUUCAAGGAAGGGUAUUGUUUAAUCGGUUUUAUGGCAUAUUUAUUUCGUGUAGGCAGGUUUAUAGCUCCUAUCAUAGCAGAGUUGAGUGAAAAGUACCCUCAUGUCACCACAUACAAGAUUGACAUUGAUCAGGUGAGGAGAAUUUUUCCUUGUCCAAUUAGAAACUCAUGUUUAUGAGUUGAUAACACAUUGAAUUUAUUCUCAUGAAUCACCCUGUAUGCUUUUUAUACAGAUGAUCAAGAUUGAACUUGAAGAAACUGAUUAUUGAUGUUUUAAAUUAUGAAAUUUUGAUAUCAAUCUUAAAAAUAUCAUUGUAGUAGUUCUCAUGAAUAGGGUAACAUUCAAGAGUUCAUAGAGAAACAUCGUGAGAAAGUUGAGAAUUUGGUGGUUUGUAUAAGAAAGGAAUAUCAAAUGUACUUGUAAAAAUUCAUGAUUGAAUGAAAGGUGACAUAGGCCCUGUUUGGAAAUUGCUAUUGAAAACAUUUUAUGUUCUUUUGAACAUAAAACAAUUUUCUAACUCAAAAAACAUGUUUGACAAACUUCUAAAAAAAAAUAGUUUUUUGAGAAUUUGCCAUAAAAUAGGUUGUUUUUUAUAACAAAUUUAAGGUUUUUUAACAAUGUUUUGAGCAAUAAUUGAAAACAUGGAGAAUAUUUUAGGAACUUUUACUUCGUAUAUACUUGUAGAAGAACAAGCGGAGAAAACUGUUUUUCAUAUUUAAGUUCCCAAACAGAAUUUUGUUCUUCAAAACAAGUGGGAACUGUUUUCAGAAACGUUUCCAAGCAGGCUCAUAGAAAAGCAUUUUCCAAGAAGCAUGGUUUCAGAGUUGUAUGGACCAAUAAUAGUAUGGUGCUUGCAUUACAAUUUACAUUUAGCCUUGAAUAGUUGUUUAAUUGUUAAGUUGUUUCUAUUAAGCAUAUUGUUCAUUGGUAUUUCUGUUGGACUUACUUUGUUAACCUAUUUGCAGGAUGGGCUUGAAAACACCCUAAGAAGGUUAAAUAUUGCCUCCGUGGUUAGGCUACUUGAUCCCUUCUUUUCCCUUAAGAAUUGUUUUGAGUUUGGUUUAUAAUUCAUGAAGCAAAGUGGUUAUCUAUUUCUUUUAUUGGUGAAUUAAGUAUCCUGUUUUUUGUAUUUGGAUGAGUAAAUUUGUGCAUAUUUGCACUGAAGAAUACAUUAAUAUCAUAACUUUUCUUCAAAUAAUUGUCUUAUUUACAGAUUGGUGUCUGCCAUCACAAUUUUAGACCAGUUAUCUUUCUUUCUGUUGCUUGAAUUGGCUAGUGAUAUUUAAUCAGAGCAGACUCUCUCUAUUUUAGUUAAUUGUAUGUGCUAAAGAUGUUUCUUGACUUUCUUCUGUUGCAGCCAACACUCCACUUCUUUCAAAAUGGGAAAAAGGCAGCUGAAAUAAUCGGUGCUGAUGUUGCCCGCUUGAAGGAUACCAUGGAUAAACUCUACAAGUAAUUCCCCAGUGGUUUGCCUUUCUGCAUUGUGUAUGCUUUUGCAUGGAUUUUUCUUUGAACAAGGGCUUCCAUAGUUGGCUUCAGGGCUAUAAACGGUUCACAUUUGAGUUCCAAUCCAUAUUUGAUUCAUAUCAAACUGGAAUCCAUUGUUUCUAAUUUGGUUAUGCUUUUUAGAUACAUUCAUUGGCGAAUCUAAAUACAUUUUUAUCUGAUUAAAUUCUAAGCUGAUAAUGUUACCCUCAACACACAUUUCCUGAAAACAUUUUAAAAUUUUUUGCUUAUGAAAAAGUUAUUUUUCCUUUUAUUUAGUGUAAGUUGAUUGGUCUAAAUUGUUGGGACCUUGGGUUCUAGAUAUAGAAUUUACUGAAUGAAAUCAAAUCUUUCCAAAUAUGCAUCAGAUAAAUUCGUGGCAUGGAUAGGUACAAACAAAUAAAGCAAUACUCAGUGUUCAUAGGCUUCAAUGUUUGCAUCGGCCCAAUCUUCCAAGUUGUUGUGUCUCCUUUCUCUGCAUUGACAAGUGGAUUCAGGUGCCGGUUGACACAUGUGUGCUUCUCUAUAAUAGACAACGAAGACCGGUUAGGAAGGGGGGUGGCUGGUUAGGCCUCUGCUCCUCCAAUGGUCAAGUCAAUCAUGGUGCUUACUAGAGGAGGCAACAAAUAAUAAGAGUAGAAAGAGAGAUAAGAGUGUCUUUGAUAACCCCUUAGCAGAUACCUAUGUAGGUUUCGGUUAGGAGUGAUGGCCAUGCCAAGAGUUGAAUCCUGCAUGUUAUCUAUACCUCAUUAAUGCUCUGAUGUAGAUAGAUCAUAGUUAUGACGGAGGCAUCUAAUCUAGCUAAACUCAUUGGAUCACAUUAAAUGCUUCAGCUGUUUCGUUGGAGGAGGGGGGGAGGGUUAAGAAGUGGGGCAUCCACUACUGGUCGCUGUGGGCUGUCCCGUCCUCUCUUGAGCUCAUGCCUUUUACACCCACACACAAGUGAUAUCAACAAUUCAGGAAGAUGAUUGAAUAAUUCGAUUCUCAGACCUGAAUCUGGAUUGAUCAUUUGUCUUGCCUUGUAUUUGAUUAACAUGUUUACAUGUAGCUUCAAGUCAUAGCUAUGAAGUCUGCAGUUUCAGCCAAGUAAUUUUCUCAUUGUUUCCAUUUGCAGGAAGGACUGACAGAAGAUUUUCCAGGGUGGGAGCUGAUGGCACAUGAUAGCUAAUCUGAUGGGUGAUAAAGCUUUCUUCAGAAAGGAGAAAAGGUAUCAAUGUUGAGACUGGGUUUAGUCAGGAUUGGCUUAGCUUUGAGUCUAUGAGGCAUUUUACAUAUCGUAAAUUACAUAAGACCUGNNNNNNNNNNNNNNNNNNNNNNNNNNNNNNNNNNNNNNNNNNNNNNNNNNNNNNNNNNNNNNNNNNNNNNNNNNNNNNNNNNNNNNNNNNNNNNNNNNNNUUUAUAAAAUACUUUUAAAAUUUAAAAAAUUAUUUAUAGUGUUUUCUAAAUAAACACUUGAUAUAUGAUUAUUUUAAAAAAUACUUUUAGAGAAAAAUACUUCAAUUAAGAGGGUGUUUGGUACCAAUUUUAAAAGGUGUUUUUGGUUUUUCUAAUAUUUGAAAAUUUUUAUUUUUCAAGUGUUAUAAAAAUUAAAAACACUUCUUAAAAGUACUGUCAAAUGCACUUUAAGAGUACAUUUGGUAAUAAUUAUAAAAAACAUUUUUAACAUUUCAAAUAUUUAAAUGAUAAAAAAAAAUUUUAAUAUUACAAAUGUUAUAAAUACUUCUUAAAAUCAUUGUCAAACGAAUUCUAAAAAUACUUCAAAUAAAAAACAUUAGUAAAGACACUCUAAGUUUUAUAUUUUAAAAAAUAUUUUUUUAUAAAAAAAGAAGAUAAUUAUAACAUGUUCAAAAAUAUUAAUUAAAUGAAAGUUUGUUUUCGUAGAAAACAAAAUAUGAAUUUUCUUAUUUCUUAAAAACAUGGUAUUGACAAAUGUAGGAUUAUACUCAACAAUGUUAAUCAAAUGCUCUUAAAAAUUAUGUUUGACCUUUGAAUUCUAUUUUUGCUGAUCAGGGUUUAAAUCCUAUUAAGUUCCCUUCACUAGGGUUUAUGUUAUGUAUAUCUUCUUCCUUUUUAUAUCCUCCUAACUUUUUUUUUUUUUUUUUUGAAAAAUGCCCCAUAUGCAAUGCGGGUUUUUCCAUGGUUAAAAACAUUAGCUUAUUGUUUAAGUAUGAGCAUUAAGACAAUAUCCUAUCAAAAAGUUGUGACCAAAAGAAAAAGAAUUGUGAAUGUGAAAAGCAUUGUCUCAAAUUUCAUAAGUGGUUUCAUACUUUGUUGGUCAAGUGUUAUCUUUUCAUCCAUUAACUACAUAUUGGGGGUCCAUGUCAUUGAGACAAACUCACCACAAAAUAUUUGUAGUGGUCCAACAAGAAUUGCAUGCAUGCUAUGAUGAAUUGAUUUUUCAAUCACCAUCAUAAUUCAAUGAUUGUAAUUGAAUUUAAGCAAGAUCUUUAUUUUUGAAGUUUCACUCUUAUGGCCUUUCAUCUUCUCUUGACAAGAAAUAUAUCGUGCGAAUGAAAAAAUCAGGUGUUCUUUGUUAGUGAUUUUAAGAUAGUUAUUAAAGGGAAUCAGUAAUGAUUUUGAAGUGAUAGUAAUACAUUUUUCUAAUAAUUUUUAACACGACCAUGGAAAGAGUAAUGAGGUAAUAAUUAUCUUAUCAUCGAAACCGUAUUUUAUCUUUUAUCUUAGUUAGAAAUUGAGGCCGAAGUCAAAGUUAUAUUUUUUUUAAGUAAAUAUUAAUAUGAUAAAGGUUUCUUAAACAUUAAAAACUAUAGUGUAUACACUAAAAUAUGUCUUUAAUAAUAAGCAACUUUUUUUGACUUUCAUAUUAAGUUUUUAUUUUUGAUUUUUGAUUUAUUAUUUUUGUUUUUUAAGUUAUAAGCUAUUUGAAUAGAAUUAGUCAAUAGGGUAUACAAGUUGUUAUUGAACUUGAAAAAAAAAUGAGGUAUACAAGUUGUUGAACUUGAAAAAAACUUUUGAUUUUUCAAAAGUCAAUUCAAACAAGCAAUUAUAAAACACACACACAUAUAGUCAUUGACUCUAAUAUAUAUAUAUAUAUAUAUAUAUAUAUAUUAGAGUCAAUGACUUUAUUAAGUGAUUAUAGAGUGUCUAGUUGUCAUAUUUAACAAUUAAUUGAAAAAUAAAUAAAUAAAUAAAAUAAAAAACCUAAAAUGUGCAUGGGAGGAGGAAGGUUGCACGAGGUAAAAGGUAAUUUAUAUUAAAAACUUGUUUGGUAACUAUUUUUUAAAAAAUAAUCUUGUUUUUUUAUUCUAAAAAAAUAAAAUACAUUUGAAAAAAAAAAUGGAAAAGAAUUUUUUUUUUGUUUUUAAAAAUAAAAACCAUAAUAUUUUCAAAGAAUAUAUUUUAAUUAUUUUCAAUUGUUUUCACUUAUUUUUUUAAAAGUUGUUUAAAAAAAUAAUUCUACAAAUAUAAAAAAUGAUUUAAAAUAAAACACUACAUAUAUUUUUUUAAAAUAUAUUUAAAAAUAUAGAAAACAUAUUUAAAAUAUUUUAGAUUUAUGAAUAGUUUUUUAUUUUAUAAAAUAUUAAAGAAUAGUUUUUAAAAAUUAUUCUCAAAACCUACUUUCGAAAAUACUUCCAAUUGAGUCUAAAUCUUGCUUUCUAGAAAAACGAGGUCCAAGCCCAUGAGACCCAAACCCAUUCCUUGGGAUUUUAUGGGCCCUUACAUGGAGGGACCUCCUCGAGUUUAGGCCUUAGCAAGUGGGCCUAAUUUAAGGAUAUUUACCUUAAAUAUCCUUAGACGAUGAGUGGCGAUGGAAAUGAGGCGAAACAAAUACUUAGAGCCACGUGGACCGAGUCAUCACGAGGCUUGACUCGGUGAAACCAGGAUCAAUUCCCGAGCUGACUCACCAUCACAUUUCAUUCCCUAAAACCCUACCUUCAGGCUUCAAGCAGCGAAAGCGCGAGAAAGUGCGAGAAAAUGGCGAGAAACUCCGUUCUUCUGCGACACCUCCUUCGAUUCUCUCCCUCGUCUCGCGCUCGUUCUUCUUCUCUGAUCGAGACCCUAGCUUCAUCUCCGAUUGCUGUCCCAUCCCCUCCCAUUCAUACAAUUUCCUCCUUUUUCACCACCGCCACCGCUAACUCUCAGUUCUCGCGGCCUUGUUUGAAUUACCGUACACUUUGCUCUUCCUCAGGUACCUCGCAUUUCCCGUGCAAUUUCUCAUUUACUUGUUUUAUUUUUCAUUUCCAUUUUCGUCGUCAUCUUUCGAGUUGUUAUUGCUUUGCUUGGAAAAAUAUGAUCCUAGGGUUUGUUUUUCGAAAUCAAACAGCUGUCUUCAUCGUUUCGAUUAGAAGCAAUUUGCGAUUUAGGGUUUAUAUUCUUUGUAUAAAUCACUGCUUUUAAAUUUAUUCAGGCUCAAUUGUGAAUUUUACCAGUGUUUGAUUAAAAAAUGAUAUAAUUUCUACUUGCAUUAUGGUUUGAUGAAUAAAUCAAGCAUUAUGAAUGAAUUUAAUUCCAGGUCAAUCAAAAAUUGCUCUGAUUAAAUCAGAAGAAGAGUUCAAUACUUCACUUAGCAAGGUUCAAGGUAUUUCGUUUUUCUUCUCUUAUAUUUUGUUUGUUUGCAUCUCGUUACUGUUUUCUCUAAUUCUUACAGCACUUCUCAUUGGUUACAUACUUGUUCAAAUUCAUUGUAAUAGAUGAAUCUUUGCCUGCAAUUUUCUACUUCACUGCAGUAUGGUGUGGGCCUUGUAAGUUUUUGAAUUAUUUCGUUUUCUACUUCAUUGAUUCAAGGAAGGGUAUUGUUUAAUCGGUUUUAUGGCAUAUUUAUUUCGUGUAGGCAGGUUUAUAGCUCCUAUCAUAGCAGAGUUAAGUGAAAAGUACCCUCAUGUCACCACAUACAAGAUUGACAUUGAUCAGGUGAGGAGAAUUUUUCCUUGUCCAAUUAGAAACUCAUGUUUAUGAGUUGAUAACACAUUGAAUUUAUUCUCAUGAAUCACCCUGUAUGCUUUUUAUACAGAUGAUCAAGAUUGAACUUGAAGAAACUGAUUAUUGAUGUUUUAAAUUAUGAAAUUUUGAUAUCAAUCUUAAAAAUAUCAUUGUAGUAGUUCUCAUGAAUAGGGUAACAUUCAAGAGUUCAUAGAGAAACAUCGUGAGAAAGUUGAGAAUUUGGUGGUUUGUAUAAGAAAGGAAUAUCAAAAGUACUUGUAAAAAUUCAUGAUUGAAUGAAAGGUGACAUAGGCCCUGUUUGGAAAUUGCUAUUGAAAACAUUUUAUGUUCUUUUGAACAUAAAACAAUUUUCUAACUCAAAAAACAUGUUUGACAAACUUCUAAAAAAAAAUAGUUUUUUGAGAAUUUGUCAUAAAAUAGGUUGUUUUUUAUAACAAAUUUAAGGUUUUUUAACAAUGUUUUGAGCAAUAAUUGAAAACAUGGAGAAUAUUUUAGGAACUUUUACUUCGUAUAUACUUGUAGAAGAACAAGCGGAGAAAACUGUUUUUCAUAUUUAAGUUCCCAAACAGAAUUUUGUUCUUCAAAACAAGUGGGAACUGUUUUCAGAAACGUUUCCAAGCAGGCUCAUAGAAAAGCAUUUUCCAAGAAGCAUGGUUUCAGAGUUGUAUGGACCAAUAAUAGUAUGGUGCUUGCAUUACAAUUUACAUUUAGCCUUGAAUAGUUGUUUAAUUGUUAAGUUGUUUCUAUUAAGCAUAUUGUUCAUUGGUAUUUCUGUAGGACUUACUUUGUUAACCUAUUUGCAGGAUGGGCUUGAAAACACCCUAAGAAGGUUAAAUAUUGCCUCCGUGGUUAGGCUACUUGAUCCCUUCUUUUCCCUUAAGAAUUGUUUUGAGUUUGGUUUAUAAUUCAUGAAGCAAAGUGGUCAUUUAUUUCUUUUAUUGGUGAAUUAAGUAUCCUGUUUUUUGUAUUUGGAUGAGUAAAUUUGUGCAUAUUUGCACUGAAGAAUACAUUAAUAUCAUAACUUUUCUUCAAAUAAUUGUCUUAUUUACAGAUUGGUGUCUGCCAUCACAAUUUUAGACCAGUUAUCUUUCUUUCUGUUGCUUGAAUUGGCUAGUGAUAUUUAAUCAGAGCAGACUCUCUCCAUUUUAGUUAAUUGUAUGUGCUAAAGAUGUUUCUUGACUUUCUUCUGUUGCAGCCAACACUCCACUUCUUUCAAAAUGGGAAAAAGGCAGCUGAAAUAAUCGGUGCUGAUGUUGCCCGCUUGAAGGAUACCAUGGAUAAACUCUACAAGUAAUUCCCCAGUGGUUUGCCUUUCUGCAUUGUGUAUGCUUUUGCAUGGAUUUUUCUUUGAACAAGGGCUUCCAUAGUUGGCUUCAGGGCUAUAAACGGUUUGCAUUUGAGUUCCAAUCCAUAUUUGAUUCAUAUCAAACUGGAAUCCAUUGUUUCUAAUUUGGUUAUGCUUUUUAGAUACAUUCAUUGGCGAAUCUAAAUACAUUUUUAUCUGAUUAAAUUCUAAGCUGAUAAUGUUACCCUCAACACACAUUUCCUGAAAACAUUUUAAAAUUUUUUGCUUAUGAAAAAGUUAUUUUUCCUUUUAUUUAGUGUAAGUUGAUUGGUCUAAAUUGUUGGGACCUUGGGUUCUAGAUAUAGAAUUUACUGAAUGAAAUCAAAUCUUUCCAAAUAUGCAUCAGAUAAAUUCGUGGCAUGGAUAGGUACAAACAAAUAAAGCAAUACUCAGUGUUCAUAGGCUUCAAUGUUUGCAUCGGCCCAAUCUUCCAAGUUGUUGUGUCUCCUUUCUCUGCAUUGACAAGUGGAUUCAGGUGCCGGUUGACACGUGUGCUUCUCUAUAAUAGACAACGAAGACCGGUUAGGAAGGGGGGUGGCUGGUUAGGCCUCUGCUCCUCCGAUGGUCAAGUCAAUCAUGGUGCUUACUAGAGGAGGCAACAAAUAAUAAGAGUAGAAAGAGAGAUAAGAGUGUCUUUGAUAACCCCUUAGCAGAUACCUAUGUAGGUUUCGGUUAGGAGUGAUGGCCAUGCCAAGAGUUGAAUCCUGCAUGUUAUCUAUACCUCAUUAAUGCUCUGAUGUAGAUAGAUCAUAGAUAUGACGGAGGCAUCUAAUCUAGCUAAACUCAUUGGAUCACAUUAAAUGCUUCAGCUGUUUCGUUGGAGGAGGGGAGGGUUAAGAAGUGGGGCAUCCAUUACUGGUCGCUGUGGGCUGUCCCGUCCUCUCUUGAGCUCAUGCCUUUUACACCCACACACAAGUGAUAUCAACAAUUCAGGAAGAUGAUUGAAUAAUUCGAUUCUCAGACCUGAAUCUGGAUUGAUCAUUUGUCUUGCCUUGUAUUUGAUUAACAUGUUUACAUGUAGCUUCAAGUCAUAGCUAUGAAGUCUGCAGUUUCAGCCAAGUAAUUUUCUCAUUGUUUCCAUUUGCAGGAAGGACUGACAGAAGAUUUUCCAGGGUGGGAGCUGAUGGCACAUGAUAGCUAAUCUGAUGGGUGAUAAAGCUUUCUUCAGAAAGGAGAAAAGGUAUCAAUGUUGAGACUGGGUUUAGUCAGGAUUGGCUUAGCUUUGAGUCUAUGAGGCAUUUUACAUAUCGUAAAUUACAUAAGACCUGAUUAUCAAUUCACUGGUAUGAGAAAACCUCAGUAUCAAAAUCUCCGUUUUGCUUCCAAAUCUAUGGAAAUCGGAUUGUAAUGUUGUCAUCGGUUCAUUGUCAUUCAAUUGAUAAAUGAGUUUCUGAUUCAUUAUCAGAGCUCACUCCCAUUGCCACACGAGAAGAUUUAUUAUUUUAUUUAUAAUUUACCUAUUAAAAAUUUCAAUUUUUUUUAAUUUAAUAUUUGCUUGGAUAUACUUUUUGUUAUUUAUUUUUAAAAUCAGAAACUUAUAUACAAAACUAGAGCAUUUAAAAAAAUAUAUAUAUAGAUUUGCUUGUAUUUAAAAAAAAAAAAAAGAUUUGCUUGUAUUUAAAAAAAAAAAAUUAAAAUUUGAGAUAGUAUAUUAUUUUAUGCUUUUAAUUUUUAAAAUAAUUACUUUUUUAAUAUAAGUUUAAAAAAGUUUUUGUAUCUUAUAUAAAGUAUUUUUAAUUUUUAUUUAAAAAAAUAAAACAUAGGGUUAAAUAAAUUUUUAUUUCUUCAACUUUCCCGCAUUUUAUGCUUUGCCUGUUGACAUUUAAAACAUAACAUUUUUCAUUAUAAAUUUAUUAAAAUACAACACUUUUAUCACUUUGUCAAUAAAAGGUUAAGAUCGAAAUAUAAAAAAAAACAUUUAUCGUCCAAGUUCAAAGUCAGUCAUAUUUGGUAGUUGCAUGUGAAAAUCAUGAAACUAUUAUAUUUUGAAGGUGUUUGAAACAUUCCGUUGUUAGUUUAAAGUUGAUUUUAUCUAAUUUAAAACUAGUGUUUGAAUCAAACUAAUGUAUCUAAUCAUAAAAUAUUGGAGGCAUGUCCAAGUAAACACUUAUAAUUUACAUUUUUUUUAACUUAUUAUUUGAAUGAAUAUUUGUUUUCUUCUUAACCGAUAAAGCUAGAGAAUUAUUAAAGAUAUAUUUGAUAAUUGUUGUUGAUAUUAAUUUUUUUAAUCUUAAAAAUAGAAAGUAGUAUUAUAACUUAAGAAAAAAAAAACGUUUAACAAAGUCUUUUUAUAGAAAGCACUUUUCAACGACUUUUGAUAAAAAAAAAAAAUUAAAAAAAUACAUUUUUCAAUGUUGUUAGGAAAGCAAAAUAUUUUUUAGAAUAAAUUUUAGGUGUUAUUAGUUGUUUUUUUAGAAAGUUUUAAACAAUAAUUUAAAAAAUUAUAUUAUGUUAUAAAAUAUAAUAAAAUUAUUAUUUAAACAUAAUCUUAUUCUCAAAAAUAUUGAUUUUUUUAAUCAUUGCCAAAUAAAUCCUAAAAUUUUAUUUAUUUAUUUAUUCUAACAUUUUAAGGGAGAGUUGCUUUGAGUCAAAUAUAUUCCAUGAAGGAGAGUUGACCCAUGAAUCAAAAUGAUCUCUUGACUAAUAAAUCAAAAUUCUAAUUCAAUUAUAAUUUGAAAAUUACUUUCUUCCCCGUAUAUAAUAAAAUUAAUAGCCUUUUUGGCUUUUUCAGAGGAUUAUAUAUACGAACGGAAAACCAUGUCACCUGGUUGAAUGAUAUAACGAUAAUAAAUUGAAAUUUGUAAUGUUUUUAAUACACUUUUAUUAUAUAUAUAUAUAUAUAUAUAUAUAUAUAUAUAUAUAUAAUAAAAAUUAAAAAGUAAAUUAUAAAUGAUUUAGAAUUUAAUAAUUAUUUGGAAGUCGGGACGAUAAAAAAAAGAAGAUGAAUUUUCAAACAAUAAUAAUAAUAUAUGAAGUAUAAAAACUUCUGAAAUAUAGAAUCAUUUUUCUUUAUAUAUAUGAAAAUUUUUAUUUCCAAUACCUUUCAAGAUUAAAGUUUUGUUUUUAAACAAAAACAGCCACAAUUUUGAUAUUUUUCUCUUUCCGUUAUUCACACAAAAAGGCGGUAAAAAUGCAGAAGAGGUUGAGAAAACUGCUGUAUGAGCAUGACAAUGGCUACCUCACUUUUCCCCAAUCCUUCUCUACAAAAAUGGGCUUAGGAACUUGCUGAAGUCAAUGUCGGUAAAGAUAGUAAGGUGGGUACCUCUCAAUUCUGCAUUUCACCUAGUGGGUCUCCCCAAAAUUUCAAUAUUUUCUGCGGAUGAAAUUCGUAUUAGCGGGUUCUCACUUUGAUUACUAUUGUGAUUUGGAAUUUUCUGACUGGUCUUGCAAUUUUAAAAUCUGGGUUUGCAUUUUCAGCAUCUGGGUCGGUUGAAUUUUUGAAUAUUUCAGUCGUAGCUUUCUGGGUACUUAGUGUAACUGGAAUUCAUGUAAGAAGUUAGUAGCUUAUUUUGAAAAUUUUGGAUAGGGAUUAUAGGGACAAUCCAACAAAUAAUGUACUAGGUUGUUAUUAUUAUUUCUCUCAGAACUGCAAUUUUGAAUUUCUUCGCUGUCUCUUUAUUUUGCCGAAGGUAUUGGGUGAGAUCGUAACCCAUUCUGGGUUUCUUGAAUUCCGUCCAUUUUUCUUGAUGUAUUUAGUUUGUAGACGUGAAGAGGGAUGGCCUCACAAACAAUUAUUAUUGUUAUUAUUCCAAAUUUGGGAUGCAACUUUACAAGAGGGAUCAACACCCUGUUUGGAUUCUGAAGGCUCAAUCAAAUUCCUAAAUCCGAUGAUCUUUGAUCAAUUGUUUCUGUAAAAGAGGUACCGCCAUGGGUUCUUUAGGAAGUUCAUUACGAAAUUCUGUGCUCUUAUGAACUCUUAUUUCUCGUAUAGGUGUGUUUUUAUCAAUUUGAGGAACUGGUGUUUGAUAUUUUUGCUCUGCCUCCUUGUUGCUUAAUGAUCAAAGAGAGAAUGAUUAGAGUUUGCAUAUGACUUCAUUUUAUUCUCUCGGAUAUGAUAAAUAGGAAAACUGGAAUCUAAGAAAGUCCACUAAGGACUUUCAGUUUCUGAUGUUUAGUAAGGAUAUUGAUUUUCUGCAGCUUUAUCCUGCUUCAUUAUUUGGUUUCCCUCAUGUACUCUAAAUGAAAAUUUUGUCUAGAUAAAUGAAAGCACUCCAUAGAUAAUUUUGAAGAAAAAGUUUAUUUGGAUAAAUGCACUAUGCUGAGAAUGACCCUUGUGUAAGAAAGCUUGCUUGAAUGAAGCUUUUGUGAGUAAAAAUUCAAUGUGUAAGAAGUCUUAUUGUUUUUCCUUUAAAACCAUGGUGUAGUAUUACUUUCUUAUCUUGUCCAUGUCUUAAAAUGUAUGGUUUCAAUAAGAUGUUCAUAAACAUCCCCACUCUAAUUUCUUGUGAAACUAUUCAAUUCUUGGUUUGUUUUUCUCAAUUCAUUCUUCUAUAUUAAUUUGUGUAUGUUUUUCCAUAAGCGUUGUAUUGUCAGUAAGGGUAGAAAUGUGUUACAAUUUCAAAGAGUAGAAAUAUUCCAUAAUGUCCUCAAGACAAAUCCUAUUUAUUGGUUUUUUUCCCAAUAUUCAUAGCAAUAUUUAUGGUACUUUGCUUUCUUCUGAACUCUUCUGAAGUAAAUUUGGGUUUUAGUUACUAAUACUAACAAGUGGUACUUUUUCUUUAUUGAUGUUUGACUUUGUUUGCAUAUUGAUUAGAUAGUUUUGAACUUUUGUAAGAGUUAUCCAUGCAUUUUUAUGAUUGAAUCUACUUGCAGAAUUUUUAUGAUGUCUUGGUUCCUGCUGAUCAUGUGAGCAUGAGUUGCCAUUGCAAGUGGGCAUCAGACAGAGCUGUUUUAGGAUGGGGCAUACUCAUGACUGGAGAUGUUUACUGGAGAGAUUACGUUGAUUCGACUCAUUAUCCUGUAUUUUAUCAGGUUUCUUAUCUCUUAUAAUUGCAAUUCAAUGGCUACUUUCUUAAAGUUAUCUUCUUAAUUCAUCACAAUGGAAAAAAAAUUCGUCUAUGCAGUGGGAAGGAGUUUGUCUUUUUUCCAGGGGGGAGGUGUCUGGUACAGAUGCCACAUGUUAUGCAGCUGAUGAUUGUGUUGUAGGUUAUGCCACUAUUUGCAAAAUUUAGGUGAAAGCAUGUGAUGUAGGACAACCCUAGGAUGGUUGCCUACACACACUCAAGGGUAGGUGGGCUAGGGUUUUAUUUUUAGGGUGUAAAGAGAGGAACAAGGAAUACACUUUAUGGUAAAGAAAAUUAUAAGAUAAGAAAUAGAGAGAAAGAAAAAACAAUGAAGAAAAGAUGGAAAACCUUAGAGUCUCACUAAGGCCUUCUAGGAGUCUCACCUAGAAGAAAAUCAAUGGAGUCUCACCAUUGAGGGUUGCAACCUUGCAAUAAAAGAAAGUAUAAUAUUAUUCAUCAAAUUCAUCCCUUUGAUUUACAUUGAUUAGCCUAUUUAUAGGCUUUUCUAAGAAAUCCAAAGUCUACUAGGACUCUAAUAACCUAUUAUGAUUCUAAUUAUAAUUAUAAUAUCCAAAGUCUACUAGAACUCUAAUAACCUAUCAUGACUCAAAUUCUAAUUAUAUUAUAACUCAGCUAGCUAAUCCUAAUUAGACUCCAACAAAUAUUAAUCCUAAUUUAAUUCCAAGUAAUAAUAAUCCUACUUUAAUUACAACUAAUACUAAUUCCCUUUCUUGAUAUAUAUCUUGAAUAUUCAUCCUCAUCAAUUCCCCCUGACUUGAAAAAAACUCGACCUCGAGUUUUAGUGAUUUUCCACGAUCAAUUGAAAUUCCGAGCAAUGCCUUCCACCCUUUCUUUCUUCGUCGUCUCUUUCCCAUGGUAAGACAAGAUCUCAAGAUCUCUUGAACUUGUUCAAUUUCAUGCAAGACAAAUACUGGACUUCGAAAAACUUUUUAAUGUUGUACAACAAGUUGAUAAUUCUCGAAAUAAUUAUGUGUCUUCAACAAACUUGUGGGAAGUUGUUUCCCACACUCUUCUUGUAAAUUGUUUUGUGGAAGAAUAAGAUUCUUGAAUUCCCUAUAUUCAAAAGAAAUUUCAGCAGAUUCUUCAUGUUUGCCACCACUCACGAUAAUGUUUGGCCUUGGGAAGUCAAACAUCGAUUCUUCUAAAACUUCUUCAACUUCUUUGAGCUCUUCUAUUGGUUGAUCUAAGAUUAGUUUCAUCACCUCUUGCUUUCUAGAUUCAUCAUUGAUGAUUUCUUCGUCCUUUCUAGUAACUUCGACUUGCUUUUUAAUAAGAAUAUUUGAUGGCUCUUCUAGUUUCAAGGGUGCCACUUUUUCCUCUGGUUGCUUAUGUGGUGGAAUUUCCUUCAUUGGACGAAGGAUCUUCUUUCGCCCAUUGCGCACAAGUGUGUAAGUGUUCUCAUAGCCAUCAUGUUGGACCCUUUCAUCAAAAAGCCAUGGUCUUCCAAGCAUAAUAUGGGCAACUUUCAUCGGCAAAACAUCACACCAUGCUGAUAACUCAAAAUUUUUACUGAAAUUAAACGUCACUAGACAACGAGAACUCACCAAAAUAGAUGCGUCAUUUACCCAUGCUAUUUGAUAGGGAUUUGGAUGAUCUUCUGUCUUUAGAUUAAGCUUCUCAACAAGCUCCUAUGAAGCUAGAUUGGAACAACUACCUCCAUCAAUAAUCAAAGUACAUAGUCUCCCUUGACAAGCAACACGAGUUUGGAAGAUGCUAGUACGUCGCCAUAUCCUCCUCUUCAUUUAGCCUUGGUAUGUUCACCAAUGGCUGCAUAAAAAAGUUGUAGCCUUCAACCAUGUUUGCAUACGUUGCUCUACUCCUCAAUUACAUAUGCCUUCAUGCCAAGAAUUUUCGCUCUGAUACCAAAAUUGAUGUAGGACAACCCUAGGAUGGUUGCCUGUAUCAAGGGUAGGUGGGCUAGGGUUUUAUUUUUAGGGUGUAAAGAGAGGAACAAGGAAUACACUUUAUGGUAAAGAAAAUUAUAAGAUAAGAAAUAGAGAGAAAGAAGAAACAAUGAAGAAAAGAUGGAAAACCUUAGAGUCUCACUAAGGCCUUCUAGGAGUCUCACCUAGAAGAAAAUCAAUGGAGUCUCACCAUUGAGGGUUACAACCUUUUAAUAAAAGAAAGUAUAAUAUUAUUCAUCAAAUUCAUCCCUUUGAUUUACAUUGAUUAGCCUAUUUAUAGGUUUUUCUAAGAAAUCCAAAGUCUACUAGGACUCUAAUAACCUAUUAUGAUUCUAAUUAUAAUUAUAACAUCCAAAGUCUACUAGAACUCUAAUAACCUAUCAUGACUCAAAUUCUAAUCAUAUUAUAACUCAACUAGCUAAUCCUAAUUAGACUCCAACAAAUAUUAAUCCUAAUUUAAUUCCAAGUAAUAAUAAUCCUACUUUAAUUACAACUAAUACUAAUUCCCUUUCUUGAUAUAUAUCUUGAAUAUUCAUCCUCAUCAGCAUGUGUCAAGGGAAAGCAAACCUAAUAAUGUUAGAUGAUGCCAUGGUGACAAAUAUGGUUUGGGAAUUGUUCAUCAAGUUGAAUAAUUUUGGAUCUAAGAAUAAAUCAGAAUAAGUUGGUGAAAAAAAAAAGUAUAAAUAUAUUGGGAAAAUCAGUUCAUGUUAGAAAAAGAAAAUGCAAUGUUUUACAUUCUGGAGUUAAAUCAAUAGAAUUCAUAAUAGUUAUGGAGUAUUGAUAUCCAAGAUAUUUGUGAGAAUAAUCACAAAUCACUUAAAUAGGUAUGACAAAACUGGGUUUGGUACAGUGAAUAAAAAUGUGUCUUUAUGGUUAUUAUUUUCUUUGAAUUUAUGAAAUACCAUGUUGGGGUGGUUAUUUUCUGAAUCACCUUUAGAUAAAUUUGUCUAAUUUUCCAGUGAUAUCAAAAUGCACUUGAUCGGUACAUAUUUCCUAUUCUCCAGGCUGUUAUUUGAACUUGAGAUAUAUUUUCAAGUAUACUCUUUAAUUUUGUUAUUUUUACGUGAUCAUGCUGCAUUUAUUUCCUGUUUUCUUUAAGCACUUUAAAUGAACCACUUUUCUGGAGAGUUUGCUCCUUUUUUCCACCUGUUUGAUCCUUUACUAGUCCUUUUGUCAAAGGGUUAUUUUACCUUUUGCAAACCAUGAAGAAGAAUUAAUUUACUUAAGAAAGUAAAGUGAGUUUUAUUUUGUUUGGUGAAAUGUCUAACUUUUGUGUACUGCAAAAAGCAAAACUCAGUGCUUGAUGAAUUCUAAUUCUUGUAAGAGCAAUAUUGAUAGUUAAAAAACAGAAGUAUAAAAAUGGAAAGAAUAGUAAUUUGAGGUUGUGUAGGUUAUACCAAUUGACCUUUUGCUAGCUGCGAUAUCUGGAACACUUUUCCAAUGAUUGGGGUUUUAGAAACAUUCUUAUUAUUAUUAUUAUUAUUUUAUCAGAAACCUAAUAGAUCUUUUCUCUUAACUAAAAAGAUCAAGAAGGACAAGACAUCCUUCCACAAUGUAGGAAUUUAGAUCAAGACAAGGCAAUGGAUUCCUUUACCCAUACCCAUAUGGUUGAACAAAUGAGAUAGAUUACAAAAAGUGAAACAACAUUUGGAACAAAAAUUAGAUAAGAUUCAAGGAGGCACAUAAUCUCCAAUAAAAGAUACCAGUUGCUUAUGUCUGACACUGUUUUAGAUCCUUAGGUACCAACUCCAUUAGAUAUGCAAGAGGAUGAGUUUUAUGUGCUUAUGUAACUAUUUUCCAGGACCUUUUGUGGGAGAUUUGCUUCAUAAGUAUGAUUUAUGAUGUAAGGAUGCUCAACGGCACAUGUUUUGUGGAUUAUAUUAUGGCCAGCAUUUUUGGCUUGAUUGCUGAAGAAAAAUUCAUAAAUACUUUAGCAUACAAAAUCCUACAAAUAAAUCUACACAUGUACAGAAAUGUUUUCUACUUGUUGCAUGAAUAAUUUAGAUCUCUCUAGAUUUGGGGAGUUUCUGUUUCUAGAACCCAUGUUCAUGAUAAAGAAUGACAUGCGAGAUCUUGUCUGCAUCCAUAGGUGAUAGUUCGGUAGCAACACUUGCUGUUUGAAAAUCUUCCUCCCUAUUGUGAACAAUGUGUUAAGUUUAAUGACUGGACUAUACAUGUUUUGGUGUGGAUUGUUAUGGUUUAACCUAACAAACAAGAGAUUCUUGUGUGAAAGGAGUGUUGUGCUCCCUAAUAUGAUGGUAAAGCUAUGCUUGAUUCCUGGAAAGUCUGAGGGAAAGAAAAUAAGUAGAAAAAUAGGAAGAAAGAAAAAGGUAAGAAAAAAUUAUAAAUUUUUUUUCUUGUUCGAUUGUCUAUGGAAAAAAAAUUAAAUUCUUUGAGUGAUGCACUUUCCUUACCGUCUUUCAAGUAAAAGGAGGAGGAAAAUCUUUUGCCAUCCCUUCCCCCUUCCUUGCCUUUUUCCAUAGUAUCCAAACAUAAGAAAAUUACUAUCCUUGACAUUUUUUUUUCUGUGCUUAGCACUUUUUCAAGAACUAAACAUAGGCUAAAACUACCUUCUUUCACUUUAACCUCAAGGAACAGUUACAAUAUAUUGCUGUCAUAAGCACUAUAGACAUGGGUGCUCUAGUGUUGUGUAUAUACAUAAGCAUUGGACUUUUUUUUAUAGACACUAAUCAUUAAACUUGUUAUUGACUUGCAUGAGAGAAGUACACAUUUGGAGGGAUUUGUAGUACCUUUUUUUUUUAUUACCUUCCUCACCUUUGCUGAAAAUAACAACUUUGGCAUAAAGAAAAGAGUCUUGUGGAAUAAUAUAAUAAAAUUUUCUUUGCUAGGGGGUGUGCUAAUAUGUGGGCUAUUUUAAAGCUAUCUAAAACAACAUAUACAUCUCUUUACUUUUGGGAGGUUAUUCAUAAUCAUAUUUUAUAUUUACCUCAAUCUCACGAUAAUGGAAACUUUGUGAUAGAUUUUUCAGAUUUUGAUUUUUUUUUUACAUAUGAGAGUUGAAUCAAGAGAUGAGUAAUUGUGAUUUUAGGGGUAGUAUAUUUUAUAAUUAGCCUUCAUGGUGCUUAGUUAAUGAGUUUUGUUUUAUGAUGGUAAAUAGUUAUGCAGUCACAUUCAGUAUUUUCAAAUCUAUGUUUAUAACUUGAAAUUGUUUUGCUAGUAAAUUAUCAUUGUGGAGUUAUUGCAUUUGUAUUUUUCUUUUUAAUACUAGUGCAUAUAAUUCUGCAUCCAAUCUCCAAUAAUUUGUCCAGGGAAAUGGCUAGAAGUUUUGGGUUGUGUGGUGACAAAGCAAGAAAUAUGAAAGAAGAUUGGUAAAUCAAAUAAUAUUGCUUGAGCUUAUGCUAGAUAUUUGGCUUUUCUGACUGUGAAGCUGUCAUUUAACCUAAAAGUUUAAGUUGUUUGAUAAUGGACCAAUAAUGUAUAUUAUGCCAAUUUUCACUUGGUCUAAAAUGCUAACAUCCCACCUCAUGGUCCUUGUUUGGGUUAUUAGGCUUUCAUGUGUGCUUAAUAAAAAAGGGAAAUUAGACAUCAGUGAGGUUCGAAUCUGACACCAUGUUAAGCUUCCAAUUAUCCUAAAAGCUUUUGUUUGGGCUUUAACUCAAGUAUAAAUUGCCAUGAUACACAUGGUUAGCAUAUAAUCUAACAAUUUAAACUUUUAGGUUAAUUGGUAGUUUAACAUGGUAUUGGAACUAUUGGAAAACCGAAACUGAUAUGGAAGGAAAUAACUUUGUAAAGCUGUAAAUUAGCUAUUAGUUGUCAAUCUUUGUAUUUUUAGGAAAGUAAUUGUUAGGAGUUAUUCUUUCCCUUUAAUCAAUGAUUUAGUUUCCAGAUUUGAAGGAUUUGUAUAUGCUGUAAACUCUAUAAAAGAAUAAUCUCAAUGAAAGAAUAUUAUUCCCGUGAAACCCUAUUCUUCAAGUUGGUAUCAAAGCUAGCAAUUUGCUAGCCAAAAUCCUCCUUCUUCCUCUCUUUCAAUCCCUGUUCUCUUUGAAACCAUGUCGGAUAUUUCAAACGAGUCCACUACUGUUCCUUAAGAUUGAAAGAGAGGAAGAAGGAGGAUUUCGGCAGGCAAAUUGCUAGCUUUGAUGCCAACUUGAAGAAUAGGGUUUCACGGGAAUAAUAUUCUUUCAUUGAGAUUAUUCUUUUAUAGAGUUUACAACAUAUACAAAUCCUUCAAAUCAGGAAACUAAAUCACUGAUUAAAGGGAAAGAAUAACUCCUAACAAUUACUUUCCUAAAAAUACAAAGAUUGACAACUAAUAGCUAAUUUACAGCUUUACAAAGUUAUUUCUUUCCAUAUCAGUUUCGGUUUUCCAACCAGUUGUAGUGCCAGCGAAAGCUUUGAUGCCAACAAUGUUAGUUCAAGAACACAAAGAUAAAACAAUCACUCAUACGGUACACACGGUUUUAACGUGGUUUGGCCAACCAUGCCUACGUCAACGGAUAAGAGAAAAUGAUUCCACUAUACAAUAGAAAAUAUUACAAAGGACAGAACCAGAUACAACUAUUGGGUUUCCGAAACAUCCCAUGUUUCCCCACUCCUUGUAUCCAUACCUUACUCUCGUUCCACUGGGUACCUCCCGUUCUUCCUCACAUCUUUAUCCACCUCGUAUAGUCUCUACAGGUCCAUCUCCAUCUCAUAACUUUUUCCCCUCAUGACCUAGAAUAUUUAUAGAAAUAUUUCCAACAACCUUCCUUAUUCAAUAAGGAAGUCUAAUAUUACAAUAAUAUAUCAACCUAGAAAUAUUCUAUAUAAUAUUCUUUACAAAAAAGGAAUCUAUACUAAUUAGGAAUUUGGGACACUUCCUAACAAUCUCCACCUUGGACCAAAUUACAUGAAGUUAAUCUUCAAUCUCUCCAUGACACAAACCUUUUUGUAUCAUAUCACCACGAAAGAGCAAUCGACUCCACCUUCAGUGAAAAUUCCUUUUGUUUUCAUCUUGUGUGCUUUGUGAUUUUUUACUCUUCUAGAAAUCUUCAACCCAAGCUCUAAUACCAAUUGUAGUGCUAACGAAAGCUUUGAUGCCAACAAUGUUAGUUUAAGAACACAAAGAUAAAACAAUCACACAUACGGUACACGAGGUUUUAACGUGGUUCGGCCAACCAUGCCUACGUCCACAGAUGAGAGAGAAUGAUUCCACUAUACAAUAGAGAAUAUUACAGAGGAUAGAACCAAAUACAACUAUUGGGAUCCCGAAACAUCCCAUGUUUCCCCACUCCUUGUAUCCAUACCUUACUCUCAUUCCACUGGGUACCUCCCAUUCUUCCUCACAUCUCUAUCCACCUCGUAUAGUCUCUACAGGCCCAUCUCCAUCUCAUAACUUUUUCCUCUCAUGACCUAGAAUAUUUAUAGAGAUAUUUCCAACAACCUUCCUUAUUCUAUAAGGAAGUAUAAUAUUACAAUAAUAUAUCAACCUAGAAAUAUUCUAUAUAAUAUUCUUUACGAAAAAGGAAUCUAUACUAAUUAGGAAUUUGGGACACUUCCUAACAAUCUCCACCUUAGACCAAAUUAUAUGAAGUUAAUCUUCAAUCUCUCCAUGACACAAACCUUUUGUAUCAUAUCACCAGUUACAACUAUUGGGUUCCCGAAACAUCUCAUGUUUCCCCAUUUCUUGUAUCCAUACCUUACUCUCGUUCCACUGGGUACCUCCCGUUCUUCCUCACAUCUUUAUCCACCUCGUAUAGUCUCUACAGGCCCAUCUCUAUCUCAUAACUUUUUCCCCUCAUGACCUAGAAUAUUUAUAGAGAUAUUUCCAACAACCUUCCUUAUUCUAUAAGGAAGUCUAAUAUUACAAUAAUAUAUCAACCUGGAAAUAUUCUGUAUAAUAUUCUUUACAAAAAAAGAAUCUAUACUAAUUAGGAAUUUGGGACACUUCCUAACAAUAGGAACCUUGUUUUAUGCGAGGUCAUGAGUUUGAAACUCAUUGCUUGCUUAUUUCCCCAAUGUGUUGAGCCCACUUAUGAUCCCAAAUAAGGUUGCUCUCUCUACCUGUGAAGUGGAAUGUAAGGUUACGGCCCAAAUAAGCUUCCGUGAGGCAAGGUAUUAGGGUUGUAGCCCAAAUAAGCUUCCUUGAGAUGUAGUGUUAGGGUUGUAGCCCAAAUAAGCCUAAUAUACAUUGUUGGUCGACUAUUUAAUAGUGCUGCCCAUGAGGUGGGUUGUACCCAAAUAAGCUUAAUAUACAUUGUUGACUUACUACCUCACAGGGCUGCCUGAUUGUGGCCUAAAUGAGCUUCACUACCUAACAACUUAAACUUUUAGUUAUUUGUUUUCUCCUCCUUGUAUGUAUGCCGAAUGUGUUUUGAUUAAUCAUUUUGAAAAUGGAAAUACCUUAGAAAAUAAAUGUUGGUCAAAAUUGACAUUCUUCCUAACAUGUAGUGCACCUGAAUGGACUUUUUGUUUGCAAUUUUCCAAGGACCAGCUUUUAAGUUCAAGAUAUUCUCAAAGAUAUUAAUUGUGCAUUUUUAAAGCAAAUAAUAUUAUUAUCUUCUUUGGAGGCCCAAAUAUUAUUGAAAUGUUACAUAGGUUUCCACAGCAGCUGUUUUGUAGGUUUACAUUUUUAAGUAUUAGUAAAGCAAAAUCCUUGAGAGAAAUUUUCUUUUCACUUGUGUCAUCAAAAGGUUUAUUUUGAUGAAUUCAUUAACUAGGUUCCUAGACAUAGCCACUCAGAACUUAUUCAUUAGGACUGGGUUUUUUGUCCUUGUGCAGUGUCCACCUUGCUACAAAGACAUGAGUUUUCGGAUUAAUAUAUCAUUCACUGAAAUAAUUUAUGUGAACUUGUCAGAGGAAUUGCUUGGGAUCGUUGAGGAGGUAUGUUUUCUGAUUUUUUAAAUUUUGCUCUGGAGCUGUAAAUUUUGUUCAGUGGACGGUGUUCUCCCAAUGUUUUUUGUAGUUUGUUUUGCAGAGUUUCUUUUAAUCAAUUUUGAAUAGGUUAUUGAGGGCAUGUUUGGGUAUUGCUCUAUUUUCUCUUUUAGCUAUUGAUGCGAGGUUAGCUUCCCAUAUUCCCUGUGUUGAUAAAUUUGCUGCGGCUCAUGCUGUGGAGAUCUGGAAGCUAAUUGUGGAUCACUUCUGUUCUUUCCAUUCUGGUCAUUUUAUUUGUUUAAGCCCAUAUAUGAUCACUUUUAAUUUCGUAAGUGACAUCAUAUUUUCAACUCUUCACUUUAGUUUGUGGUGAUGAUAUCCUUUUCUGUAAAUUCAUCAUUCUAGAAGAUGUUGUGCCAACAUGUACUGUAGACACAAAGAAAUUCAAACAUGGUCUGACUGCUGAUGUUAAAAGGUGAAAGCUAGAAGUGAACUGUCGGCAACAAGUCAUCUGUUCUAGGCCUAAAUAAACUGAUGGAUGCAUACAUGAAAGUUAUGUGAAUUCUGUAGCAUAAUUGUAAGCUUCUCCAAUCUUGGUUACUCACCAAAAACUAAUACUCUUUUCUCAAACUGGUUUGUGUCUAUGACAUCACUUUUUGUCUGUGAGAAAGUGAGGAGGUUGUAAGAAAAUCUCUUUAAAUUGAAAGAGGUUAAAUGGCAAUUUCUGUUGUUGAACUGGCUAGAUAGCCAAGGGUGUACAAAAAUAUAUUUUGAUGGGUAACUUUAUUUAUUUAUUUUUUGGUGUCCUACUGGGACUUGAACAUGGAACCUCCCACAUUCCCAUUCCAAGCAAUUGGCACCUGAGUCAAGCCUCAAGGGCAAAGGGUGUAUGAGAAUGUUCAAUAUCGUUACCAUUUUUUUCCUUGUGAGAGGUUACUUGUUGCCUUCAUUAAAGAUUGCUCUUGCCAACACUUUUUAGGGUAUCUGGUGUUCGAUUGCAGAAGGCCAAUAUUAUCCAUUUUUCCCUGUGGGUUGAAACUAAGUUUGUUUGGAAGUUCAUCUGAACUAGUAAUACAUAUUUUAUUGCCAAGUCUGAUUGAUCGACAAGUUCACCGAGAAGAACAGAAUGACCAGCCACUAUUAUAGGAUUGCAUAUAGGUCCAUGGAAUGUGCAUUUGCAGGAAAUAAAUGAGCUAUAGAUAUUUUAUAUGAAAGGAAAUUUCAUUGAAUUGAUGCUUGUGUUGGAAAAUCAGAAAAAAAAAAAAAAAAACAUCAUUUCUAAUCAAUUAUUGCAGCUGCAGUGGAAUGCAAAAGAAUGAGUUCAAAGCAGGCUGAAUGAUGUUCUUUGAUGAGUGUCUCUGGUUCAUGGGAUCCCCUUCUGCAACUUAUGUCAUGUAAAUUUCUUUUCCUUUCCUUCUUUGAUAAAAAAUUAUAAGGAUUUACGUUUUUCUCUUGUACACAUUGUUUUAAUUGACAGAAGUUCACACCAUCUGCUGGUACCUAGUGUGAACCCUUGUACGCAUCAAGGCCACCCCCAAAACCCCAGUUUAAUAUUUGACAUGUGAAUCGGGAGCCAGCUCUAACAAUCCAAGAACUCUAGUAACAUAUCUUUUUUGAAAAAGUUGUAUCCAUUUGUUCAACGUGUGAUUCUAAAGCAGUAAAGACUUCCAUCACAAUUUUCCUUUCUAAUGUUUCCACAGUUUUUUCUGAUGAUUCUAUUUGCAGAGACCUUAAUGGUUGAAAUUGGGAAUUUAAACACUUGGCCAAACUCAAUGGAUGAAGAUCUUCGCUGAUCCUAUGAUUUAUUACUCAAAUGCCCGGUCAGUAAGCUCUGUAACGAUAAUCCAUCAUACCUGUGUGAUAAUAAAUCAUCAUAGCCAUAUUUUUCAGGUCAUACAUUUCUUUCCUUCAUUUUUAUUUUCAUUAGUUUAUUUCCCUUUGCUAAAUGGAAGUCAGGGAUAAGCGAUAGAUGUUAAGGCUCAUCCAUCUUUUUUUUUAUCCAUUCUGGCCUGGGUUUGGGCCAGGCAUUGAGGUCUGCCUCAAGAUCUGUGCAUUAUUGGUUGAUUGUAAAUUAUGCAGCUAGGAACAGUGUUGAAGAAACAGAAUAAUUGGAAACUGGGUUUUAUAAUAAACUAGUUUAUCUCUUUUAUCUUUAUGCUUCUGCAUCCUGCUGCUUUAGAUUAUGUCUCAGAUCCUAUGCCACGUAGUGUGUACAUACUGAGUGUUUUAUGCAAUUGGGCUUUGAUUCUGAACUUAAUUCCUGCAUUAGUUUGUACUUGUUUGUUUGUUACUUUUAUGCUAUUAUUCUGUACCUUGAUAAUUCUACUUGUAUCAUAUACUUGGUCCGGUUUGGGUUGGGCCGGAUGGUGGUAGACCAGAUCCCACCUUGAAACCCAAUCCUGAACUUGAUGUUCUGGGGUUUAGGCAAAGGUUCUAACCCAAUCAAGAAGACAAGCUUAAGAUAUGAGUACGAAGAUUCAGAUUUACCAAGUGAGAGACAAUAUUUAAGAUAGAUUCAGCAACUAGGAGUAUGACCCAGUAAGUAGUUAAGACCAUCCCAAACCAAGAGAGAACACCAGGUGGGUUGCUAUAGGCCAUCAUAAAUUUUCCCAAUAAAUGAAGCAAGGCUCAGAAAACUGAAGUUUGGAUAGUUAAAAAAAAAAACCGGUUAGAAGAGGCCAAAUCUAAAGAUGGGAACUUCAAUUAAUGUAAAAACUGGAGAGGUGGGAGUUUGAAGUUCUCAUUUCCUUAAUCAAUCCUCAGAAUUUUUCAAGAAGUCUCAUUCUUGUUCAUCUGAAAGAGCCACAAGUCAACAGCUAAGGGAAAAUUAUCCUUUCAUCCAGAGUAUUUUCACUCUUGUUUGGCUGUCAAGUAUCUUGAAGUCCUAUAUAAACAUUCAGCUUGGAGUAUGGGACAAUGAUAGAAUCAUGAUUUGGAGAGCAUGAGGGAAAAUGAGUAGAAAAUAUGAGUUUAUUAUAAUCAUUUUGUGUUUUUAUUGCAUCAUAAAAACAAAGAGAAAAUGGGAAAAAGAAAAAAAAAAAAAAGAGAGAGAGAGAGAGAGAGAGAGAAAUAGAGCAUCCGUCAUGAUCAUGAUUAGAUACUGUGGAUAGCAGGGGGUAGAAAUUAAAGAUGCUAUCAGGGCUAGUGGUAGUAGAGUAGGGCAGAGUAGGGUUAGGCACAGUGAGUAGGGUCAAAGGAAGGAUAGGAACGAAGACCAAUGGUCAAAGGGUUGGACAAUGAUAGGGGUCUGGAAUAUCUGAUGUUGGGUCCAUUCCCUCCAGUACACUAGAAGAGUGACUUGGAUGUCCCUCUGCUUCUUUUAUAUUCAAUACAAAACAAACCCCCCUGCUGGGACCAACCCACCUCACUGACCUCACCUCGCUCUCUCUCUCUCUCUCUCUCUCUCUCAGUCUUCAUUGCAUUAUCAUCAUCAUCACAAUGUCUACCAUGUCUAUUGUGUCUAUGCAGCAGUGGUAGUAGUUGUUGUGUUGAAAGGAGGUAACCACUGUACUACCCCCCAAUACAUCAAUACCCCAACAAUACCACCCACACAGGUGUCUCUAGAGCUGUACUCCUCCCACCCCUCCUUUCUCAUUCAUUUUCAAGCUACCCUUUUCACACUUUUGAUUUGCACCCUUGAUAUCACCUCUAGGAAAUAGAAAUUCUUGAUUAAGGGCAGGCUGAAAGUUGAAAGAUAAAAGAUGAUGAGGAUGGAAAAAGAGAAAUAGCUUUUGCAAAGGCACAAUGGUCAAAAGGAGGGGACACAAGAAGCCGCCAAGUCAGAGAGAGAGUGGGUUGGGGGUUGUAUCAUACUAUCUUGUAUGCCAAUGGUAAUGCCAAUGGCAAUGACAAAGGGCUGCAGCUUACAAAAAGGCUGACAGAUGUCAGAGUAUGAUAGGGAUGGGUGAUAUAUGUAAUUAGAUGGGACUAAGCCAAGCUCUCUCUCUUUCUCUAUCUCUAUCUCUCCCUCUCAUAUAUUUAAAUAUAUAUAUAUAUAUAUUAGAUGGGUGUCUCCCAAGUCCCAUCCCACUCCCAACCACUCAGAUUCUGCAGGCUUGACGGAGCUCUGCUUUUUGUUGCUUUUUGCAAACAUAUCAAUCAUUGGGAACUUGAACAAACCUUGAUGCCUGUCUUUUUACCAAUCCCCAUUUAUGUUCCUCUUAAUUUCUCUCCCCACCUAACCAACUCUCUUACUGCUCCCCCACCUCCAUACAGAUUACAUAAUUACAUUACUUCUCACUAUGUGCCCAUACAAUCAAUUUAACCUUAGUCUAACUCUCCUUCCUUCAUGGUUCUCUAAACCUCACUUACAUUUAGUGUUUUAUUACUGUAAUUUCUUGUCCUUCAUGAUUUCUCAUGACAUUGCACUCGGAGCAUAUACAAAACUCCCUGCCCUUCAAAAUUUUCCCUGUUUACUUUUCUUAGUAGUGCUUCUUUAUUUCAUACUUGUUUGCAGGGUAAAAGGUUUCUAACAUGCACCCAUCCUAGACCACUAUUCUGAAUUCACUAUCUCUUGUUUUUAUUGUCUAACCCACUAACACCAUGAUAUUUUUUGAAUUAUAUAGGAUAACUGUAGUCUGUAGCCUAUAACCAUAAUAUCAAUUGCUUUUUAUCACACUUCAAAUUAUUUUAGGGAAAAUUCUAAGACGUAUGAUUAAAUCUAGAUCAAUGAAUGAAAGGUAUAAAGAAAUAAGACAGCUACAAAGUAACAAGAACUUUUUGGCCACGUGGUUGUUCUUGAUUGGACAUCACUAGCACCAUAGCAAGAUCCUUAUCCUAGCUUUUGAGUUUAUGCAUGUUACUGAGAUAUGGAAAAACGUUUAUGCCAACACCCCACUGAGGAAGAAUGGGCCAGCACUGUUUGUACCAACACCCAACUAAGGAACACCAAGCCUAAAGUUAGGUUUGAAAAAGCACUACUUUUGGACCUUUUUUCUAAAGAAGAAUCUUCAAUGAUUGUACAGAGGCUGCUUGCUUAAAGAACAACAUCUUUAGGAACCAAAGGCUUUAUGAUUCGGAUGGCACAUUCAAAUCUAAACCCACACCUUGAACCAACUUGAUGAAAAUUUUUGUGGAAGAAAAUUAGGUUUUAUGCUUGAAUUUGCUUUUGAUUUCACUUUUAAUGGACUAAAACCAAUGCUGUUCCUUGAAGACAUAGUCAAAAUUCUAUGCUGCUCUGGUGGCUCCUACAAUAAUUGAGAGAGGCACAGUAGAGGCUGAAGGGCUAUAGUAGCAGAGAAUUUUAGUAUGAUGAGGAGUUGAACAAAGUACAUACAUAACAUCUAUGGAAAGAAAAAAAAGAACCAAGUACAAAUCUAUCAUGGAUGAUAAAAGGGUUUUAUGCUAUGCUCUUUAUGGGUUUUUUCCAACUCCUUUCCAACUCUAAUAAUAUUCUUCGCAUUCUAAUCACAUUCCUUCUCUCUCUGUCAUAUUUUUACUUCAAAUAUAGUACUGAAAGUAGCUGUAUUGUGUGGCUAAGAAAUAGUCUGAAAAUUGAGAAUCUAACAACAAUGGGGAGUAGAAUGGUUUCAUAGAUAGGGACACAAUUCAAAUAGCUACUAAUUUGAUGGGUGUUUGGAGUUAUUGGAACACCAUUGCCCAAGUUUGGAUCUUGUUGCAGAUUCAUCUUUUCUCCUCCCAUAUGUCAUGUGUGUGUGAGACAUUGUGUACUCUGUAUCCUUUUAACCCUGGCACGUGAUCUAGACUUUUUGACUCAUUUGUUAUUUGUGAGUUGUGAUCUAUGCUAUAUGGUACUUUGAAUGGGCUUGGCCAUUGAUUUCAAAUUGUCCUAGUUUCUUUUGGGUCACCCCAUUUUUAUCCUUCUUAUCCAUACUACUACUAUCUUAGGAAAAUACCACAUGUAUCAUACUAAAUUCAAAAUCUAAAAGAAGAAAUAAGACUCAAGUUUGUAACAAUUUGUUCUCUUCGGUUUAGAUAUCGUUUGUUUUAAGUUUAACGGGUUCUUGAGGUUCUAAAAUAUAUCUACAUGAUUAAGAGAAUUCACUUUUCUAAUGACAUUAUAGACCUCUUUUAGUUAAAUGUUAAUGGAAAUUGGUGCAAACCCUCAUGAGUAGGUGUUGCAAUAUGAGCUCUUGGGAAUUAGGACAUGUUUGGCAGACAAAGUUGGAGAAUUCAAGAACAGAUGGCAGAGGCAGUAUAAGCUAUAUGAACCAAAACCCACCUCCCCUGCCACCUAGAGAGCUGUGAAAUCAUCUCUUCUUGUUGGGAUUUAGAGGUCAGAGUACCCAAAUUGCAUUAUUGGUCACUUGGGUCUACAGUAAUGCCUUUGGAUUUUCUCUUGCUUUUCAUGUUUGAUAGGCUAAUGUUGUCUUUCCAAACAAAUUUCUUGAAUUACUUCUUAUAACUUGCUUUUGCUAAUUUAUUUUUAAAAAGCUUUUGAGGGUCAUUUUUGAGAAAUUUCAACAUAAAGAAAGAGUGAUUAUUUUGAAAAGAAAUACCCUCCUAUUUUUUUCCUCAAAUAUUAAAAAAAAAAAGAAAAAAGAAAAAUGAAUAUUCCCCUGUUCAUAAGUAGGGCCCUUUUUGGGCAGGGGUUUGACCUAAAGAAAUGGCAUGGAGAGAGACAAAAAUACAUCACGUGAGCACCAACUUACUUCAUCAUUUCUUCCACCACGUCCCCAUGUUUUGAUUUGAAUUCUCCAUCCCUCAUAAAAAUUUAUAAAUUAGAAGAAAAAUAUCAAUUUAAAAAAUUUAGUUCUUUUAAAUGUGGAGUCAAACCUAACCAUGAUAUAUGGGAAUUGAAUUUUUAUAGUUAGAAAGUGAGUAAAUAAAGAUAGAAAUUUAAAAGCUUUUCAUUCAUUCAAAUUCUGUCCAAGAUUGUGAUUGGAGGAAGGAGAGAGCCCCUUUUUCAGGAGCUGACGGAAUCAUAAUAAACCAACAACAUCUAAUCAAUCACAUUAUGAUUCCCACCACAACUUUUUUAGAUUUCCUCGAAAUUAUUCCACCUUGGAAGGCGAGGUCCUGGUUUCUCUCUCAUUUUCUGUUUCCUUCUUUCACCCUUUCUUUCCUUCUUUCUUUCUUUCAAGAUGCUGUCUUAUAAAACCCUAUAUAUAUUUUUAUAUAUAAAUUUUUGAUACCUUGGAAUGCUCAUCGAAGCCCAUAAUAUGCUCUCUGCAAAAUCCUGCAUGGGGAAAUUCGUGGAGCCCAUGUUUCUAGUUCAAGCCCACUGGGCCCUGUCCUUCCCGUUCGUUUCUUUUCCUUUUUUUUUUUUCAAAAAAAAAUUCUUAAUUUUAAUGAUUAAAUAAGAAUGAUGAAAAAUAAUGAUGCUGCCAGCUUCUACUUUGUUUUUACUAGGCGUUCGGAUGUGAAAAGACACUCGUGCCCCUCACCGACAAUGCUUGGUUACCGUGCAGUAAAUUAGCUACUUCACGUUGUUCUAAAUGCAAAUUAUUAGUCUACAAAUUGUUAGGACUUUAAUUAAUGGGCCUGGUUGGGGAGGGUUCCAGGACAAAACUGGAAUUUUCUUUUUCAAAAUAAAAUAUUUAUAUCCAGGCGUCUUUCCAAAAUAUAAAUAAUACUUUGAAAAAUAUAUUUUUUAAAUUUAAUUAUUGCCCUAUUUUAAUAAUUAUAAAAAAAAAAAGGUAGAAAAUGAUAACAUUAUUCCAAAUGGCUUAAAUAAAGAUUUAGUGGAAAACGAAAGACCAGCAUUGUAUUGUAGGUCGCAUUAAGAUAAUUAUGUGUACGUGUAUAAAUUAAAGAGAAGGGGGCAUGCAGAGAUGACACGUGGCAGAGCCCCAGAGAUGCAUAGAAAGGGAAAGAGAUAGAGGGCAUGUGAACCGUUCUGACUGCACCAGGGGUGGUGUGGGGCCCAGUGGGUCUAAAGGUGGUCCUACUCACAUGCUCUAUAAGCCAUGCACCACUCACCAUGUGGCUUCUUUCGAAGCCCUCUGCGUGUUCUCCUCUCACACGCGUCACCUCCCUUCUUCUUCCACCUCCUCAGUCCUCCCCCCUUUUACUCCUAUAUAUUUUUUUUUACAGUAACACUUGAAAUUUGUUGUAUCAUUCGAGGAUGAACAUGGUAAAAUAUCGAGAAUAUACAAAAUUAAUUUUUUUUUUUAAAAUUGCAUGGAACGAGAGAAAUAAUGCCUCCUAAAAGUUAGAAGUUUUACUAGCAACUUUCCAACUGUAUUGGAGCAAAAAUUUAAAAGAUUUANAGUGCAGAAAUAAAUUUAAAUGAAUAAUUAAANNNNNNNNNNNNNNNNNNNNNNNNNNNNNNNNNNNNNNNNNNNNNNNNNNNNNNNNNNNNNNNNNNNNNNNNNNNNNNNNNNNNNNNNNNNNNNNNNNNNAUGGGGAAAUUCGUGGAGCCCAUGUUUCUAGUUCAAGCCCACUGGGCCCUGUCCUUCCCGUUCGUUUCUUUUCCUUUUUUUUUUUUCAAAAAAAAAUUCUUAAUUUUAAUGAUUAAAUAAGAAUGAUGAAAAAUAAUGAUGCUGCCAGCUUCUACUUUGUUUUUACUAGGCGUUCGGAUGUGAAAAGACACUCGUGCCCCUCACCGACAAUGCUUGGUUACCGUGCAGUAAAUUAGCUACUUCACGUUGUUCUAAAUGCAAAUUAUUAGUCUACAAAUUGUUAGGACUUUAAUUAAUGGGCCUGGUUGGGGAGGGUUCCAGGACAAAACUGGAAUUUUCUUUUUCAAAAUAAAAUAUUUAUAUCCAGGCGUCUUUCCAAAAUAUAAAUAAUACUUUGAAAAAUAUAUUUUUAUAAUUUAAUUAUUGCCCUAUUUUAAUAAUUAUAAAAAAAAAAAAGGUAGAAAAUGAUAACAUUAUUCCAAAUGGCUUAAAUAAAGAUUUAGUGGAAAACGAAAGACCAGCAUUGUAUUGUAGGUCGCAUUAAGAUAAUUAUGUGUACGUGUAUAAAUUAAAGAGAAGGGGGCAUGCAGAGAUGACACGUGGCAGAGCCCCAGAGAUGCAUAGAAAGGGAAAGAGAUAGAGGGCAUGUGAACCGGUCUGACUGCACCAGGGGUGGUGUGGGGCCCAGUGGGUCUAAAGGUGGUCCUACUCACAUGCUCUAUAAGCCAUGCACCACUCACCAUGUGGCUUCUUUCGAAGCCCUCUGCGUGUUCUCCUCUCACACGCGUCACCUCCCUUCUUCUUCCACCUCCUCAGUCCUCCCCUCUUUUACUCCUAUAUAUUUUUUUUUACAGUAACACUUGAAAUUUGUUGUAUCAUUCGAGGAUGAACAUGGUAAAAUAUCGAGAAUAUACAAAAUUAAUUUUUUUUUUUUAAAUUGCAUGGAACGAGAGAAAUAAUGCCUCCUAAAAGUUAGAAGUUUUACUAGCAACUUCCAACUGUAUUGGAGCAAAAAUUUAAAAAGAAUUUAAGAGUGCAGAAAAUAAAUUUAAAAUGAAUAAUUAAAAUCAUAAUUAUUUUAUUUAUUGUGCAAUAUUCUUGGUACUGUAGUAGAGAUUUUCCUUAAAAAAUUAUAUAGAAGGGAAUAAAAAAUAUCGGGCGAAACUAACGAGAAAAUCAGAGGGCGACUUAUCCAGAAAGCAUAUUUCAGAGGCACAAAAUUAUUUCUAAAUGAAAAAGAAAAUAAAUGUACGGGGGACAAUAGCCUCCACUCUGGCCUCUUGUCUCUUGACACUUAAAUCACCGUACGAAUCACCAGGAGUCGCUCUCGCUAUCAUGCGCCAUAUGUUACCCUCACUAUAUAUACAUAUAUAUAUUAGGCAAUGUAGACAAUAUAAGAAAUUAAGCUGAAACUAAAUUAAAAAUAACACCUACUAUAUAUUAUAUUAUAUAUACGUGCAAGUUCCAUUACAUACAAACAAAAUUGGCAGAUUCAGAGAGACUAAUUGGCCUUCAAAUACAGUCUCUCUACACCCGCCGGCGGUCAGUAACGGAAAUGCCAUUUCAAGAAACAAAAUACUACUCGCUCCGCCGUCACAUUAAGCUAAGAUUAAUUUAAGCCACCACCAAUCUUAAUAUAUAAAUAACAACCUCUAGUUAAUUUUUUUUUUUUUUUUUUUUUGGUGAAUUGUGGUCUAAGAAAGAGGAGACCUAUGAGGAGCACCCUUUCUUCUGCUGCUCAAGGAGAGAAAAUUGCCGGGGAGAAAACCGGUUGAUUUCUUCUUCUUCCUCACCACCGCCUCGGGAUCUCGUGAAAUUCCUGAAUUGCCCGAGGUCUCGUUGGAGGAGCAGGACGAGGCCUUGAACUGUAACGGGUCCUCCAGGAUGGAGUUCGGGGUAAUUUGGCCCUCCUCGUCCUCCAUUCGUAGGCCUUCGAAUUGGGAGUAGGCGAAAUCGGAUUCGUCAAACCUGUAUAUAAUGCUCGACAAAUCUUCCCCUUGGUACACCAUAUAAUCAACCUACAUUUAUUCAUUGGGUAAAUGAGUCAUUUCCUUGGACUUUGUCACAAAAUUUAUAACAUAAAAAAAUUGUGAUAAAGAGACCUUGCAUGAAAUGGAACAGAAGCGGAAUGGCUCCUGGAGAAUCCUGUCACAAGUGAAGCAAAUAUUGGCAGAGCCUUUACAAGACCUGGACUGUGGCCUCUGGUUCAAGAAUAUAACUUUGGCACUGUUUAUAGUAUAAGGCUGCCAAACAAGGCAUAAUAUCAUCACUAAUUAAUUAAUGAAUUAAUUAAAAUUAGCUCAAAAUUCCCAAAAAUAAAUAAAUAAAAUUACCUGAAUAUAAGAACAGUUAAUGAGCUUCUCAAGGUCAUCCAAUCUGACCACAUCAUGGUACACAUAUCUCCUCACCUGUCACAUGGGAGGAAAAACAAAAUUUUGAAAUAUUACCACAGUUGAAUUCGAUUUAACUACCACUCUCUAGUUUGAAAUUUAGAUGAAAAUGAAAGCAAACGAACCUAACCAAACUUUCAAUCAUGUUGGUAUCAAUGAAUGAGCAUUAAGAAAAGAGGAAUUUAUGAAACUAGGUCAAACUUUCACUUUAUCUGAAAGCUACUAGUGAGGAGGCUUUGCAGGGAGAUUGGAUAAAAAGAAAUGUUCCAGAUAUAGGAAAGAAAUCAAAUCUAAAAAGUGAGAUUCAAGGAAGAAAUAAUGAACCCUUUAUAGAACACACCAUUCAUUAAUGGGAAAAAAAUAUGUAUAUAUAUCAAAAUCUUUGGAAUUAAGAAUCAAGGAACGUUUCCUUGCAGCUCGGGAAAAUUUUUAAGUUUAACAUCUCAAUUGGUACGAAUCUAGGAAAUAGGUUUUGACGAUUUGCGAGAAGGUCCAAGAAAAAAAUCACGAGAAACAAACGGAGAUUUUCCGGGAAACUGAAAGAAAAGAAAACAUCAAACGUGAGGGUAGCCAAACAGAAUUACCUUCAUAGAGAGAAAAAAAAUGGAAGGAAAAGUAUAUGUGGAUAUAGAAUUUGAAGCAAAACCUGGAGGAGAGGAUGAGAGCGAUGAGAAGGAAGACAGUGAGGGCAGAUGCUUUGACAACACUCCAAGCAAAAAACGUUCUUCUCGUUCUUCCUACGAUUCUCGUGGACCCCACAACCAGCAAAGAAUGUCUCGGCCAUUAGACCAUCCAGCCAUGCAGGCUUCAUUACCAUAUCUCCACCACCACCACCUGCAACUCCACCUCCGCCGCCUCCUCCCCCUCCGCCAGACGAUGAUUCUCUCACCAUCUUUUUUGCUCUCUCUUGUUCUCCAAAGACUCUUUAACCCUUUACGCCCUUUUUUCUACCAGGUCUGAUACAAGCUGAAGUCAGAGUGUAAAAGAGAGAGAGAGAGAGAGAGGAGGAGCAGCACUUAGCUGGAGUAUUUAUCACUACUCAGUAAUGGUGGUAGUGCGAGGAGUAGAAGAAGUGUAUUAGCUUUCAUGUGCUUUUGUGAAAACCCUAACUAAUACCCCUGUCCUCCUUUAUUUAUACUGUCUUUUUUUUAGAAAAAUGGACUACCCCUCAAAUAAAUUUUCAUCCUCCUUUCAUUUCUAUAAACAAUACGCAAUGGAAAAUAUUUUUAAAAAGUAAAAGCUUUGAAAGCAAUUUAAAAUUAUUCUAUUUGAUUUGGGUUUUAACGAAAAUAUAGGAAUAAUCAUUUAUCAAAUAUUUCUAAGCAUGUAAAUAAUUUUAAAAAUAGUAAAAAAAAUACUCUUAAAAUUUUAUAUUAGAAAACGUUUUUAAAAACUCUCUCUUUAUUCGUUAUAGAAAACAUUUUUUUUAACUCAUUUCAAAUAAAAAUAUCAUACAUAAAUGUGUAAUAUCAAAAAAUUUAAAAUAUUCUCUUUUUGUCAAUUAUUAUUCAAAAUAUUUUAAAAAAUGAUUGAGAAUAUUUAAAUAAAAUAAUUUUAUAUUUUUUUAAUUAAAUAUUUUUUAAGCAAAGAUUUGGGAUGUUUUCAAAUGGGGCUAAAUAAUUUACUACUAUUUAUUUAAUUUGUAUUUAAAUUAAAAUUUUGAAAAAUAAAAUAAAAAUGGAAGGGAAAAGAGGAGAUAUUGCUGCUGGGUGGAGGUGUUUAUGGCGGGAAGCAACCCCACCAAUGGUGUACCUUUUCUGCAAAUACAAAUCCUUUUCCAGACAGUGAUUAGAGCACUCCCCUUUAUUAUACCUACACUUCCCUGUUUCUUUUGUAUUUACCAAAGUGCCCUCCCACCGUCUUUAAUUUUCACCCCCGGCCAAAUAAAUUUUUUACUCUUUCACUCCCGUUAAAUGUGAGGGAGUGCCUCGGUUAUUUACUGGUGAACAUUUAUUUAUUGUUUUUAUUGUUAUGAUUUGUCUCUUUUAGGGCUAGUGAUAGCCCCUCCUCGGUUAGAAAGCUGUGAUAUGACAAAAAUGUCCUUUAUUUUUGUAUAUUAGGGUUUUUUUAAUUUUAAAAUUCUUUUAUUCUCAUCGAGUGGCUAAAAUAAUUAUAUUUCGUGUGUUGAAUGACUCAAACCACCGUAUUGUUGUCUUGCUGUCGUGUAAUUUUGGGACGUGUGUCCUUUAAUUUCCCAAAAUACCCUAAUGUUUAUCUGCACUCGUUAUUUUACGAGUCUCGUUAAACUUAAAUUCGAGACCCAGACCAGGUUGGGCUUAAAUGUAUAUCAUCCAGGCCCAAUCCAAAAACUUAACAGGCCUAGCUUUCAGGCCUCAGGCCCACGCCCACCCUUUGUGUUAUACUAGGCCGCCUCACCAGGCCCAUGGCAGGCCCUCAUAGGGCCGCAACCUGGCCACUUGGAUUGGGAUUGUAAUUAAGUCAAGCCCAAUCCAUGCGGUUGGGCCCUGCACCCAUUCGAUAAAAAUGGCCCACUCGGUAUCCAACUUGAGUUGCUUAAUUUGAACUCAGCUUGAUCUCGUUUUCCCAAAUCAAUCGAAGUGAAAUUCCGAUUGGGUUGUAUUUAGGGGUGACAGAGUUUGAUAUGAUUUGCCAACAUGAUACAAACUCAACGCUUUUUUUUUACGGGUUUAAGUUAAACAUAAAUGAGUUUUGGUUAAAUUCGUGUCCACGUGCAUAACCCAUUUAAUAAAUAUACAACUUUUUAGUCAACAUGCACAAUACAAAUUUGACCCGAAUUGACAUAUUUAAUAAUCUUUCUAUUAACCUGAUUAUAUCUUUAAACUAUUUAACUCAUUUUAAAAUUAAAUAAUUAAUUAAAUCAUAAACAUAUUUAAUUGAGACAUUAAUCAUAUAAAUAUAUAGAAGACCUAACUCAACUUGAUUAUUAAAUAUGAUAAUUUAAUUACUAAAUAGGUUAAAUAGGUGAUACUACUUAUUAUUUAUUUAUAAUUGGGUAAUACUUAAGUUUAUGUUUUUGACACGAUUAUUAUUUGUAUCGGGUUUUAAUUGAGUUAUUUAGUUAAAUACUUGAACUUUAACAUAACAUGAAUACAACUCAGUAAAGAGAAUUGCUACCCCUAAACUUGUGUUGAGCCCAUUUGCAAUAUUUUUUUUUUUUACCAAAAUAUAAAUAAAAUAACUAAUAAUUCAAUAUUUCAAAACAAUGGUAAAAGGAAAAAAAAUCAAAUCGAAUUUUAGACUAACUCUUUCAAAUUACAAUGCAAUUGAAACAUUAGGACACAAUGAUGAGUCUACAAAGGAGAUUUCACUCAAGCCAAGUCUAACGCAUGGUGCAUGGCAAGUGUUGCUUUUGAAGUUCAUAAUAUCAUCCUCAAAUGAUUUCAAAAAUGAUCGCUCACCCAAAUAUAAAAAACACUUUGAAAAAACAAACAACAAAAAAAGAGAGAAAUUUAUUGAUUACUUUCCAUGGCAUCACGAAGCUUUUCAACAAUGGCAAAAGGGUAUCAAGAAAAGGCAUAAAUCAUAAGCCUCCCUUUUCAAAAACAUCCAAAAAGAAAGAGGUAAAAGUGAGACAUGGGCCUCUUGCCCAUAAUAAUAUAGGCCCACAAAACUUGAUGGCACUAGCCAUCUUCAAGCCUGCUUGAUAUGGCCCGUUUUUAGCCAUCAAGCAGGCCCAUGUGAAUGAAUUGGCUGCACCAUCUUGACAUUAAAAGAGUUUACAUGGAACUGUUAAUUAGGUCUUUGCACUUUCCUCAAACACCAUGUGAGAAAUAAAUUUUUAUUUAAUUGUUGUUUUUUUUUUAAAUUUAAUAACUAUCACUAUUUUGAUAAAAAUAAUUUUAAAAUAUAAAUAUUUUUGGCAUUUCAAUAGUAGAAAGGACUUUUUAGUAAAAUAAUUUUAAAUUCCACCUUUUUUUUUUUCCCCCUUUUUAAUCUUUUAGAUUUGUGAAAGCUCUAUUUCUUGUCAGGGAAGGUGCUUGAGGUGCACGCAGAGAAGAUGUCUAUCUCACUCACACCAAACUGCACUCAACUUAUGUGUGAGGAUAAAUGAAUUUCAAAGUCAAUUUCCAUCCAAAUACCUUUUUUUUUCUUGUGGGUUGUUUGUUCGAUAAGAAAAUUCUUGAAGCCUUGAAAGUGGGAAAGUGAUAUGAUUAGGCAAAUUGAAGAGAAAAAGGCUCUCCAUUUAGUGAUGGGACUCAUUCUUUUUGCAUACACUUUAUGAGUAUAAACCAUUAUUAACUCCUCUCACCCCUUUUCUAUGAUAGGAUUAUUAUACUAGAAUUGAUGUCGGCACGGGCUUUUUGGUACUAAUCAUAAAUUGCUGGUAACUACAUCUUUUCUCUUUUAUCCUCAUUGGAGUUCAAUCACUACCCCAUGAAAGCAAACUUUAGGUAAGUGCCUCCUAGAUAUAAAUAAUUUUGACCUUUUUGGGGUUUGUCCUAUUUGGGGUUCUCUUUAUUUUUUGUGCUUAGUAAUGUAUUUUUUUAAUUAUUUAAAUUAAAAUAUUAUAAAUAUCCUUAAAAUUUUUAAUUACAUACAAAUUUGUGCAUUAAGUUACAUAUAAAAUUUAUUUUUUUGUUGUACUUUUUUCAAAAUAUAGGUUUUUUAAAAUAUAUAUAUAUCAUUAGUUUUAAUCAUAUUUGAUUUCUUUUUUUCAUGGUAAAAUGACAUAUGAGGAUAUCAAUUUUUUUUGGGUAUUUUAUUGAAACCAAAUAUAUUUAAAAAUAAAUAAAAAUAAUGAAAGAUUUAUGAAUACUCUUCGUUAUAUGCCUCAUAAUGAGCAUGGGGAGAAUGUGUGUUCCUCUAAAUGAUUUAGCACAAGAAGAUUAAUAAUUUGAGAUAGGAGGCAUAGGCAUGUGACCUAGAGGCCAGUGGGCUAGACUCGUAGCCUGUAGGAUUAGUAUUUGUGAAUAUAGACACCAAAAUUGGUAGUUUGCUUGGCAUAUGAGAUUUGGAUCUAGAUCUCAAAUUUGGUCUCCAUGAUCUUUCAAAACAUCCCCAAUAGUCCCACCAUGAAGGGGCAUAACCCCACGUGGGUUGAGGAUGUUUCUCAUGAUUUUUCUAAACCUUAAAACACAUUUUAACUUUCUUUUUUUUUUUAAAAAAAAAAACACUGAUAAAUAAUAGAAUUCGGUGGUUAGGACGGUUAUGGCAAAUGACAAUGAUGAUGAGUUACACUACACAUUUAGUAGCAUGAAAGAAACCCUAAUGAUGAUUAUAAUUUGGUGAAAUGUCACACGGGAGGCAACUACAAGUGUGGGCAUCACCAAUGAUAGUGAACUUAUGAUGUAAUAUGGAGCUAAAGAGAUGGGUCAUUGAAAUCUCAAUGAACCAUUUGUUGGGUUGGAGGCAUGCAGAUUGGAGACAUGGGUCCAUUUUCCCUAUUAAAUUGCCCAAUGCCAUUUCUGCAUACAUGGAAGUUUUAUCCAAAAUGGUAGAUGCAAUCAUAUGCAUCCUUCCAUGUAAACCAAGACAAACAAUAAUCAAUUCCUAAUCCAUAUGCUUACAACUAAAAAUAGGAUAAAGAUUGGGUCAAUUUUUUUUUUUUAGGAUUCAUGGUGUUUUAUUUUUUAAAAUUUUGGAGUAUUUUAAAAUAAUGAAUUAAACUCAAAAUUAAUGAAAAAUGAAAAUACCUUUAUUAAAGCAAAAAAAAAAAAAAAAAGUGUAAUUCUUCAAUUUAAGGAAAAGACAAAAUGUGAGAAGUAAGGGUGUAGUUCUUCGAUUGAUCUCAUGGGCGAAGGAAGGGUAUUUUGGUAAUUUUAGGUCAAGUAGUUGCAAGUUGGUGGUUCACUGAUUGAAUCUCUAUUAAGCUGAGCUAACGCCAAACACAAAGCAGAGCUCCUGGGUGAGAUCUAUCUAGAGAAAGAGAGAAAUCUAGAGAGAGAAUGAGAGAACUGACGGCCGACGGUAACGCGGCGGCUCCUCCGCAAGCUCUUCUGGAGAGGCUCAAGGAUUACGGCCAGGAGUAUACUUUUGCCCUUUGGGACGAGCUUUCGGCAGAGGAGCGAGACCUUCUCGUCAAGGACAUCGAGGUCGUUCUCUUUGUCUUUCAUUUCUCCGUUCGGUGGCCGAGAAAACUAGAUUUUGAAUAAUUUGAUCAGUUUGUGGUGUUAGGGAUUCAUGAUUUUCAUUUUUUUGUUUCUUUGCUUUUUUCGCUACCUUUUUCCGCGACGAAAUGGAGAAUUGGCGCCAAUCUAGUUUAAAUUGGUUUCAUGAUUUGUAUUUUAUAAUUAAUGAUUAUUGGUCAAUUCGAAUUUAAUUAUUUCUAUGAUUUUGUUUUGUAAAGCGUGAUUUGGUUUAAAUAAGUGUGCUGUUUUUUCCGCAGAGUUUAGAUCUUUCAAGGGUAGAUCGGAUCAUUCGGUGUUCACUUCGAUCUCAAGGCAAACAUCUCUCUCCUUCGCUAGAUAUGCAUAAUAAUGAUUUUUUUCUUCUUUCUUUUGAAGUUGGAAUUGUAUCUUGUUCAGAGUUGACGUAGUCGUGUGGUGAAUGUUAUGAUUUUCUUUUGGAGUUCCAGGGCUUCCGACGGCAGCAAUUGAGCCGGUUCCAGAGAGUAGUGUGUCCACUGUAGAGGAGAGAACACUUGAAGAAAGAGAGAGAUGGUGGAAGAUGGGUUUGAAAGCCAUCUCCGAAGGGAAGUUGGCGGUGGUUCUCCUAUCUGGUGGGCAGGUAGAACUCUUUCUUAUGGUAAUUGGCUUUGAUUAACAAGAAUAUUUCCUGUGGCCUACUUCAAAUCAAUCAAUUAAUUCCUAUGAGAUUUUGAGAUUGACAUGCUUACUUAGUAAAUGAACUACAGAGAAUUGGUUUUGUUCUAUGAAUAGGUGGUUUAUACUGCAAAAAUGUGCUUGCUACGAGAGAAUGUAUUCUACACUCUUCUCAUUGGAAUAUCCUGAGUAGGAAGGAUCUGAUGCUUGUGAUGAAAUAUUAUAAAUAAAUAAUAGAAAAUGCUUAUCAUUUUGUUAUCUAUGACCUAGAAAGAUGCUUUGCGACCCAACAAGCAGCAUCUUAAAUUAUCUAAUCACAAUUUCCAAUAAAAAAAUCAAUGUCCCUCAGGACAAAAUAGUUUUAUGAUAGUACAAUCAAGUUUUGUUUUUAUAGAUGGCCUAGCUGACAGGACAGCCUGUUUAGCUGUUCCAGUUUUACACCUGAUUUAACCAUUGUACUUUUUAUUCAUUAGAAACUAUUUUUUUUUUUGAUUGGAUAUUCAUUAGAAACUAUGAAUAUUGGGAAUUGGCAAUAAGGCUCAGGUUGUAUAUCAGUUUUCUUGUGAGGUCUUAAGGUUAUUGUAAAUCAACUCAGGAUAACUUCUAAGACAUGCCAAGCAUGCACAGAAGAGCUGGCUUGAGCCCAAUUUGAUAAAACCUAGCAUAGUUCUUUACUUGGAGAAAAUCUUUUUGUAUAGAUGGAACUUUUGGAUAUUAAUCAAGUUCUGCACCUGCAUAUUCUUCUGUGCUCCCAUCAACAGCCUCCAGGUUAUCAUUAGCUGUAUUUAGCAACAUGUUUAAAGUGUUGUUAAUAUACAACCUCCCAUCCCCU